rnacentral:lncRNA from 1 species
GCGUGUAUUUGUUGAUUUUAAGGGAAAGGGGCUUUUCUUGUUUUUUUUUUUGACAAUGUGAUGCGAAAAACUCAAAUUUAUUUUGAAUUCUUGACAUUGUUUUUUAAUUAGCCGCCCAAAAUGAGGUGAAUGGGUUUGCACAGAUGAAGUUCAAUUUUUUUGAAUUCUUGAACUCUUUAGGAUGAAUAUAAUUUAAUUUUAUAUGUAUAGGUGUGAAAUUGAGAGCUAGAGGGCAAAUGUGGUAUUUGCAUGAC